rnacentral:rRNA from 1 species
AAACGACUCUCGGCAACGGAUAUCUCGGCUCUCGCAUCGAUGAAGAACGUAGCGAAAUGCGAUACUUGGUGUGAAUUGCAGAAUCCCGUGAACCAUCGAGUCUUUGAACGCAAGUUGCGCCCGAAGCCAGACGGCCGAGGGCACGUCUGCCUGGGCGUCACGC